GCUGAUGGUACCAAAGAGAAAGUAGGAUACAAGAGAAUGGAGACCAACAUAAAAACACAUGAGAUGAUAUGAUCAUCAUCAUCUCAGUGGAACUUGAGGCUGGUCAAGACAUUGUUGUUGACUGGAUCCGCCAAAUGAUCAAGAAGGUUCUGGUACGGUCCAACACCGGUUACUAGCCCCUGCACAAAGUAGCCUAAGAUGGCCAACAUGGCCAAUCUACCGUUCUUGAUCUCCUUGAGUUUCAACUCCUUCAUGGACUUCUCGUUUUUACCAAACCCAAGAGGGUUAAAGAAAGGUCCACCAGGGUAAGCCGGUUCACCUGAACCGGAAAAGCCUUUCUCUAAACCCAAGAAGUACUGUUUGCCCAUAGAUCCAGGGUUGUACCAGUCUUGCAACCUCCGGUGCUCAGCGAAUCCCAUCAGAGCCAUCUCGAGAACAAAGAGUGUGUAGUUGUCUGCCCAGUAACUGUAUGUCCCUGCAGGUGGAAUCACACCGGUUUGGAACCAGGGAAGAGCA
rnacentral:lncRNA from 1 species